UGGACAGAAGGGAUUUCUGAAAA
rnacentral:piRNA from 1 species